rnacentral:rRNA from 2 species
UGGGGAAUAUUGGACAAUGGGCGCAAGCCUGAUCCAGCCAUGCCGCGUGAGUGAUGAAGGCCCUAGGGUUGUAAAGCUCUUUCAACGGUGAAGAUAAUGACGGUAACCGUAGAAGAAGCCCCGGCUAACUUCGUGCCAGCAGCCGCGGUAAUACGAAGGGGGCUAGCGUUGUUCGGAAUUACUGGGCGUAAAGCGCACGUAGGCGGAUACUUAAGUCAGGGGUGAAAUCCCGGGGCUCAACCCCGGAACUGCCUUUGAUACUGGGUAUCUGGAGUCCGGAAGAGGUGAGUGGAAUUCCGAGUGUAGAGGUGAAAUUCGUAGAUAUUCGGAGGAACACCAGUGGCGAAGGCGGCUCACUGGUCCGGUACUGACGCUGAGGUGCGAAAGCGUGGGGAGCAAACAGG